rnacentral:lncRNA from 1 species
AAAAAAGCACUUUCAUAAGAACCAAAACUCAGGUACCAGCUCAGCCACAGCGGGGUAGAGCACCAAGCUCUUGGUGUGCCCAGUUCCAGGCCUUGAUUCUUGGAUGGCCUUUCUGGACCUGCCCUGGGCCACAGGGGAGCACACUUUCCUGAAGGUGUGAUUUGCUGCUCUUACCAUUAAGAGGUGAAAUCUCUUUCCUCGCUAUUUGAAUAUGACUGUGCCUGGUGAGUGACACUGAACGAAAGAAUGCAGCAGAAGUGAUGGUGUGCCAAUUCCAAGUCCAGGCUUUACUCUCUUGAGAUUCUUGCAAACAACGAUGUGUGCAAAUCCAGGAUGGCCUGCUGGAGGGAGACAAGUGAACCAUCACCAUCUUCACCCUGACCAACAGCCAGCCAAUCAUUAGACAGGAGUGAGGACAUCCUAGGCCAGCCACUGACCUGAUGACUGCAGAUCCAUGAGUGAGCUCUGCUCAGAUCAGCUAAAUAUGGCUGGCACCAAAAGAAUGACUCAGCUGACCCACAGAUUCAUGAGUUAAAUAUGUCCCUUUUGUUUUAAAUCACUAAGUGACUUAAUGAGUGAUAAAUGGCAUAGGGUUUAAACUAUCUUGUUAUGAAGAAGAAUAGUUGAACCACUUGCUCUGAGUAGAAGUCAAUGUAAGUCACAUUUUCAAUAAAAAAUACAGGUUUGUUGUUAUAUAACUUAAGGUAAAUGUGCUGGCCUAAAUUAUCUUUCCACUCUACUCAAGAGAAAUUACAGUCUGUAUUUCAAGGUCAUUCUGAUCAAAUUCUCAAAGCCAAUAAUGUCUCAAAAGUACUUGCAAAUAUUAAUAUAUUUUUAUUUGAUUUUAUUAGUCAUAUCAAAAAUCACUAAAUACUUAUGAAUAUUAUAAAAUUCUUGAGCUAUUUUCCUUUUAAAUUAAAACUUUUUAGUUUUAAAUAUAUUACAUGUUCAUUAAGAAAGAAAAAUGCAAAAAAAAAGUGCAAAGAAGAAAUUUUUGAAAAAAAGCCUAUAAUCCCAUUGAGCCACAAAGAAUUGUUUGACAUUUUAAGCUGACUUAGAGUUUCCCUAAAUGGUUUCCAAAUACAGACAGGGUCCAACUGGCCUCCUGCAGAUAGAAAUAUACUCUAUAUGCAAAUGAGAAAACUUCUGAAUUUAGUCUAAAAUAUAGUAUAGAUAUCUAUCAUGCAUACACAC